GCAUCUGGUUCAAUUGGCAGAGCAUCUGACUUGUCAUCCAAAGGUUGCAGGUUCGAUACAUGCACGAUGCA